rnacentral:tRNA from 1 species
GGUGCUGUAGCUCAGUAGGUAGAGCGCCGGACUGAAAAUCCGUAGGUCACUGGUUCAAUUCCAGUCAGCACCACCA